rnacentral:lncRNA from 1 species
UUGCCACUUAUGGUGGCUGGGAACUGCCACUGCUGCAAAUAAAAAAGAAUGCAAAAAAAGGAGUCACAAUGGAAGUUUCUGAUGAAAAAACAAAACAAAAAACAAAGCCCACUUCAAAUAAAAAAAAAGAAAUGGUGCAGAUCAAAAAAAAGUUACUUACUGUUACUUACGGUUUAAUUUUGUGUUGUUGUUUUUUUUAAUUCAUACCAUUAUUUUUAUUUGCAGCAAGCUUUGGUUUCUUUUUUUCUGCAUUGGUAACUUCUGUUGUGGCUUCUUCUUUUUUUUUUUUUUUUUUUUUUUUGCAUUCAUUUUUAUUUGCAGCAGUGUCAGUUCUUGGCCACCAUAGACACUAAUGCCUACUCUGUUAUGUUUCCCCAGGGUUUUUGCUGCUGCUCCUCCUGUCUUGGCUUUUCAAAUCUGCAUUGGUAAGCUCUCUACCCAAAGUGAAUUGAAUGAAAACGAUUAGUUAGCUCUUGCUGUAGCUCUACUUCUUUUAUGUUUUUGUUACAGUAAAACAAUAAACUACAAGUGAACAACCACUUGUUGCCUAUCAGUUCAUUACUCAAACUGUUAAGACUGAAAGCCAAUUCAAAACUGUACUGGGCCUUGAUGCCACUUAUUUCCUUUACGUGACAUAACUACUUUAUCCAAAAUGUGAUUUUGGAUGGGUUAAAGCUGAGAGUGUAAUCACACUUGUGAAAUUUGAAGCUACUGUAAAAGUUAGUCUGUGGUAUCCCCACAGGGUGGCGCUAUAACUACAGCUGAAAAAAAAAAAUCUCCAUUAAGAUGUAUCAAAGGGUGGAAGUUGAUAAUGUAUAUGAUAGUCAAACAAAUUGAGAGUCAAACUGAAAUCUGAGGAGCUACCAGGGACACACUCUUCAACGAAAAGUCACAUUACAGACAACAGUGCCUCAUCAAAGAGUGAAGGCUUUUCUGACCAUAUUUAAAAUGAAUAUGUGCAAGAGAGGAGGAACAUUUACAUCACAGACUAAAAUGUCUGAUUUGCAGUUGAGGGCAGUGUGGCCAUAGGCAAAUGAAUGUAGGUUUGAGCAGACUGGGACAGUAAUCAUAAGUUUAAAUCUUGGAAAUCAUCAAAAAUAAACACGAGAGUUCAAAGGAUUUUUGUUACUGAGCAAAUUCCUACAAAAAGGGAAACCUCCUUCUCUGACCCCUAGCCAAGGCUACACUUGAAUACAUUUCUUAAACUAUGUAUAGCCUGUGAUUUUCAGUUAUGUUUUUAGUACACUAAGCAUAUUUAGGGUUGAUGGAAUGAACCCUUUGAGACAAAUUUGUUCAAAUAUAAAAUGUUUAAAAUACAAAAAAUAGGUGUUUUGUAUAGUAGGGCAGUGAAAUGGAAUAAAACAAGAAAAACUAAUGAAAUUUAACAAAAAUAAUAGACCACUUGUAGACAUUUACGUUAGUGUGUGUGUGUAUCUGCGUCUGUGUGUGUACUUGUGUGUCUGUGCUUUGAUUGCAAGGUUUGUAUGCAGUCAAACACAUUUGCAUAGAAUUUGUGUUAACGGUAACCAUUGAGAGAUUGUUGACACUUUGCUUAAAUGAAUCCUGGCAGGAUGUAUUUGCCUUCAACAACUUCCUUUUUAACAACUCAUAAAGUAGUGUAAGGGAGAUAAGCUGGGUGGGCCUUGUGCCCGCUGUACUGCAGAGAAUUGUCUUUUGUGUGAAACAUCGAAUAAAGAACCUUAUCACAGAGGCCAUCCAACGUCACAGUGAAUGAUGUUAACAAAUUCAUGGUGAAUGUUAAAUUAAAAAAGGCUUAUUAUAAAAAAAUAAAGACAUUAAAUAAAAUGAAGUGAUUUUCAUGAUGCUAUGUAAUCACUUGAAAGGGUUUAUAAAAUCAGACUUAAUUCAAAAAUAGUAAGUGAAACAUAAAAAUGCCACAAUUACACACUUUUUACACAUAUUUACGCAUUUAGCUGUGUGAUUGUUUAAUCUAUUAUUCACUUCAUGUCCUCCUUCACAAACUCGUUUUCUUUGGGGGUGUGGUUGUUUACCAUGUUUUUAAUCAGAUGAUGACAAAGGUGUUUCUGUGCCAGAAUACAGUGACAUAUGUAAGAUCUGACAGCUGGGUUUUUUGUCUGCUUCUAGACUGUUCACAAAAAAUAACAAAAUAAAUAAAAAAAGAUGAGCUGCAAUACAUUGCUAAGUGAUAUUACUGUAAUGGCUUUUACCCAAACCACUACCAAAUCCAUCUUUUUCUAAUCUAAUUCAAUUCAAUUCAAUUUCUAUCUAUCUAUCUAUCUAUCUAUCUAUCUAUCUAUCUAUCUAUCUAUCUAUCUAUCUAUCUAUCUAUCUAUCUAUCUAUCUAUGAUCAAGUGUUUGGAUGGAGGUGUUCUCACUUCCACCUGUCUCUGUUCUCAGAGGACUUCCACGAACGAAUAACUCAUAUUUGGAUUAAUAUCAAAUCAAUUGUUUCAAUAAUAUUACCACUACCAUGAGAAGUCUUUAAUUGAUACACAGCUUAAUCGUUUUUAUUUCUAUUUCUAUUUCUAUUUCUAUUUCGUUACAGUUCCUUAACCCCAAUGAUAUGUUUGUGUUGGAAUAACACCUACAAAGUUUCCCACUGGUUGGGAGAAGCCAUGGAGAGGGAGUACUUUGAGCCUUGUUGGCCAUAUCAACAAACUCGCAGACAUACAUAUUGGGGAGAGUGGGGUAAGAGCUAAAGGGUAAGUUGUGCCACUCCCUGUUGCUUGGAAAUGGUAAAAGAAAUUGAUCAUGUGACCAAAAUUUUAG